rnacentral:lncRNA from 1 species
AAUUCUUUAGUGGUGGCGGUGACUCCAACCCUAGCAGACACGCGACUUAUUGACCGUGGGAUUGGCAGAUCGGACGGUGCUGAGGAUCCCAUCGCACGCGCUCCUCCCCUCCGCGAAUCACACUUCGCGCUCGCUAUCCAACCGUCGACGCCGCUCCCCUCAUCCUUCGCCGCGCCCCCACCACGCCUUCACCGACCGCCACUCCUGCUCGCCCGAAUCGACGCCGCCGCCGUCGCGGGUCGACAUCGCCGCUCCUCCUAUCGCGCUCCUCCCCGCCGGCACUGCCUCCAUCCAUCCGCCAUCGCCAUCGCACGCCUCCGCCUCUCAAGGUCGCACGCUCAUCGCCGCCGCUCGUCGCCCGACACCCCGCCGAUUGGGGACCGGACGCUGACCCUGCAUCGACGCCACAACAGCCGACAGAUGGGAGAUGUUGAAGACCUCACUCCAACGACGGCUGCGCGCGGUGACACUACCAGGCGUUGA